GAGGCCCGGUGGACCUCGGGGUGCCGUGUCGGCCGGGGAAGCCGCCCUCCGCCUGGGAGGCUGGGGUCCGAGGGAAAGGGGGCGUGGCUGUGGGUGGGGUCGGAAAGCCCCUGCACGGGUGAGAGGCUGGAGGACUCGGCCUCAGGCUGCCCUCCCGUCCGGCGGGCCAGGUCGCACCGGCCGCUGGCUUCCGUUUUCCUGGAAUCGGACGCGUGCAGGUCAGCAGUGAGCGUCCCCGAGUGAAGGUGGCCGCUCACCGCACGGUGCCACGCACUCCGAGCGAGUGCUUCAUCCCAUCAGGGCUUCCCGUCACUUUUUAUUUCGUUGCUUCCUGUUUCCUUCUCCUUCACUGGAACUCUUGGUUGGUCAUGAGAGCUUGGUCUUCCUAGGACUUGGAUAAUUUAACUUCCCGAUGAACAGUUGGUUCCUUAGUUAUGGAAUCUAAUACCUUGAACCGCGUAAACUGCAUGCAAGAAAGAGUUGCUUGUAAUGGAACCUCAAAGUAAAGGGCAUAAGUUUAUGAACAGAUUAUCGAAAUCUGAUGUUAUUGAAGAUGUAUGUCCAAAGUGCCUUAAACAGAAAGGAGGA